UUAGACUUAGCGGCGGACGGGUGAGUAACGCGUGGGUAACCUGCCUUACACUGGGGGAGUAACAGUUAGAAAUGACUGCUAAUACCGCAUAAGCGCACAGGGCCGCAUGGUCUGGUGUGAAAAACUCCGGUGGUGUAAGAUGGACCCGCGUCUGAUUAGGUAGUUGGUGGGGUAACGGCCCACCAAGCCGACGAUCAGUAGCCGACCUGAGAGGGUGACCGGCCACAUUGGGACUGAGACACGGCCCAAACUCCUACGGGAGGCAGCAUG
rnacentral:rRNA from 1 species